ACGGGUGAGUAACGCGUGGGAACGUGCCUUCCGGUUCGGAAUAACCCUGGGAAACUAGGGCUAAUACCGGAUACGCCCUUAUGGGGAAAGGUUUACUGCCGGAAGAUCGGCCCGCGUCUGAUUAGCUAGUUGGUGGGGUAACGGCCUACCAAGGCGACGAUCAGUAGCUGGUCUGAGAGGAUGAUCAGCCACACUGGGACUGAGACACGGCCCAGACUCCUACGGGAGGCAGCAGUGGGGAAUAUUGGACAAUGGGCGCAAGCCUGAUCCAGCCAUGCCGCGUGAGUGAUGAAGGCCUUAGGGUUGUAAAGCUCUUUUAUCCGGGACGAUAAUGACGGUACCGGAGGAAUAAGCCCCGGCUAACUUCGUGCCAGCAGCCGCGGUAAUACGAAGGGGGCUAGCGUUGCUCGGAAUCACUGGGCGUAAAGGGCGCGUAGGCGGCGUUUUAAGUCGGGGGUGAAAGCCUGUGGCUCAACCACAGAAUGGCCUUCGAUACUGGGACGCUUGAGUAUGGCAGAGGUUGGUGGAACUGCGAGUGUAGAGGUGAAAUUCGUAGA
rnacentral:rRNA from 1 species